GAGCAAAAUUAAGGCGUUGGUCUCUCACGUUCGCCACCAAUCCAUGGUUCGUGCUCACGGCCGCCGUCGGUGAGCUGACACAGUUGAGAAGGCCGAAGUUGACUAAGCGGCAUUGCUCGAGGCCGUUGGCACCGCGGAAGGGGAUAAUCUCUACUCUGUUCUCUAUCUCCAUCUUCUUUGAAUAUUAAUCGUUUUGAAGUUCUGGAUGGUGCCAUGCUGUUUUGUUGAAUUUGAGCGGCAUGGGGAGUGCUGGAAGCUUGUGGCACAUAUCAAAGAAGAAACAUGUGGCUUUAAUACUUCAUUGUUACGAGAAUUUCUUAUCAGUUGUCCGUCCUAGUCUUCAUAUGUUAGUGCAGAGGAUCCCGAUAUUCAUGUUCAAAUCAGAAAUUGUCUAUUACGAAAGUUCUUUUUGAACAAAAUUAUGCCAAGGCCAGUUGAUUUUCAGAUUUUAUAUCAAAUUGUUGCUGAAUUUUACUUCCAUAAGCACUGCCAUGAACGUCCGUGCAUUGGCCAAUCGUUAUGCAGCCCAACUCAGUCUAUGCUGCUCCCUCAGUCCCAUCAACUGUACCUUGGCUCGAGCCAUCCAUGCUCACAUGAUAACUUCUGGGUUCAAGCCAUGGGGUCACAUCCUCAACCGCCUAAUAGAUAUAUAUUGUAAAUCAUCCAAGAUUGGCUAUGCCCGCCAAUUGUUCGAUAGAAUUCCCAUGCCGGAUAUUGUUGCAAGAACCACAUUCAUUGCCACGUAUUCUGCGAGGGGUAAUAUAAAGCUGGCUGAGGAAAUUUUUAAUAAAACCCCAUUGGUUAUGCGAGACACUGUUAGUUACAAUGCCAUGAUUACAGCCUACUCUCAUCAUGAUGAUGGUCAUGCUGCUAUUGAGCUCUUUCGACAAAUGAAGCAAGAAGGGUUCAGUCCUGACAAUUUUACCUUCUCCAGUGUGCUCAGCGCAUUGGCACUUGUAGCCGAUGAUGAAAAGCAGUGCCAACAGCUGCACUGUGAAGUAAUUAGGUUGGGAUUGGGGACAGUGACAUCAGUACUAAAUGCAUUAAUAUGUGCUUAUGUUCAUUGUGCAUCUGCACCACACGUAUCUUCAACAUUGUUGAUGGCUGCUGCUAGAAAGUUGUUUGAUGAAAUGCCUCGGAGGGAUGAAACGUCAUGGACAAUAAUGAUUACUGGGUAUGUCAGGAAUGAUGAUCUCAGUGCAGCUCGUGAAUUACUUGAUGGGAUGACAGAGAACACAGAGGUUGCUUGGAAUGCAAUGAUUUCUGGUUAUGUGCAUCAUGGACAUUAUGAAGCAGCAUUUGACAUGUUCAGAAAAAUGUAUUCUAGGGGAAUUUUAAAAGAUGCAUAUACCUACACAAGUUUGAUUAGUGCUUCUUCUAAUGCUGGUUUGUUCAGAUAUGGGAAACAAUUGCAUGCUUAUAUUCUGAGAACAGAGGUGCAACCUUCAAAUGACUUUCUAUUGUCGGUGAAUAAUGCUUUAGUUACAUUAUACAGUACAUUUGGUAAACUAAUUGAGGCAAGACAUAUUUUUGAUAAGAUGCCCCUUAAAGAUAUUGUUUCAUGGAAUUCAAUUCUGUCAGGUUAUGUCAAUGUUGGCUGCAUUGAGGAAGCUAAAUCCAUUUUCAGAGACUUGCCUGAGAAAAAUCUCUUAACAUGGACUGUGAUGAUAUCUGGCUUAGCACAAAAUGGUUUUGGAGAAGAGGGAUUGAAGUUAUUCAACCAGAUGAAACUGGAGGGGCUCGAACCAUGUGAUUAUGCAUAUGCUGGAGCAGUUAAAUCUUCUGCUGUUUUAGGAUCAUUAGAGAAUGGACGGCAGCUUCAUUCUCAGAUUAUCCAGUUGGGCCAUCAUUCAAGCCUCUCAGUUGGCAAUGCAUUAAUUACUAUGUAUGCAAGAUGUGGUGUUGUUGAAUCUGCUUAUUCCAUGUUCCUUACAACGCCUUAUGUGGAUUCAGUGACCUGGAAUGCCAUGAUUGCAGCCCUUGCACAACAUGGACACGGUGUCCAAGCUAUUCAACUUUAUGAGGAGAUGUUGAAGGAAGAUAUAUUACCUGAUAGAAUAACUUUUCUCACAGUUCUUUCUGCUUGUAGCCAUGCAGGCUUGGUUAAAGAAGGACGUUAUUAUUUUGACACAAUGGGUGGUUAUGGUAUAACCCCAGGAGAAGAUCAUUAUGCUCGUAUGGUUGAUUUGUUAUGCCGUGCUGGUCUGUUCUAUGAAGCAAAGAGUCUAAUUGAAUCAAUGCCUUUUAAGCCAGGUGCGCCAAUUUGGGAAGCUAUUCUUGCUGGUUGUCGCAUUCAUGGGAACAUAGAUUUAGGCAUUGAAGCUGCAGAACAACUUUUUGAGCUAAUGCCUCAGCACGAUGGAACCUAUAUACUCCUUUCCAAUAUGUAUGCUACUUUAGGUCAAUGGGAAGACGUAGCCAAAGUAAGAAAACUAAUGAGAGAACGAGGGGUUAAGAAGGAACCAGGUUGUAGUUGGAUUGAAGUUGAAAACAAAGUCCAUGUCUUCUUAGUUGAUGAUACUGUACACCCUGAGGUUCAGGCAGUGUACAAAUAUCUAGAACAAUUGGUAUUUGAAAUGAGAAAAUUGGGGUACAUCCCUGAUACAAAGUUCGUAUUACAUGAUAUGGAAUCUGAGCAUAAGGAACUUGCUCUGUCUACCCACAGUGAAAAGCUUGCGGUUGUUUUUGGAAUUAUGAAGCUUCCUAUAGGAGCUUCAAUAAGAGUUUUUAAAAACCUGAGGAUUUGUGGGGAUUGCCAUAAUGCAUUCAAGUUCAUUUCUAAAGUGGUGGAGCGUGAGAUAGUUGUUAGAGAUGGGAAGAGGUUUCACCAUUUUAGACAUGGCGAAUGUUCUUGUGGUGACUAUUGGUAAGCAGAGGUUUGGUUACUUGAUUAUCUAUCAAGGGAGGUCUAUAUCAAAAGUUGUAAAUGGGUUUGAAGCAUAUGAAGUGGGGUAUUAGCAAUCUGGGAUCCAAAAUUGAGACUGGCAGUGGCUUCAAAAUGUUCUACUAAAGAUUAAAAAUCAAUCGCAAUAGGGGUCAUAAGUAUCGGAUAUACCUUCCGUAACAGAUGAAAUGUGGUUGCUGUUUGAGGGGCCUCAUGGUAAGCAGGCUCCUGAUCAAGAUUACUUUCAUCGUAUUAAGCACAGCGCCAAAGCAACUAUGAUUGUCCAUACCUGUUGCUUUAUUUUUAUGGUAUUAGUCACUUUAAUGUUAUCCAUCUGGUUAGUACAGUGACUGGUGCUAAAUAGCUUUGAUGGAUAGGUUGGGGAAGUAGCGGAUCAUCCUGAACGUAGAGCUCUGCCCUGUCAUGUGCUUUCCAUUGCUUAUUUUCGCAUAUAAUGUUUUCAAGCACACAGAAAAAGUUUCCAUGUUGGCAAUCUGACAUGCAAUUAAAAUUUAUAAAUUGACCUGGUUAUAUUUUUUCUUAUUUCUGUUGGUUAAUAGAUUGGAAGAUUCAAUCUACGAUCUACUUUCUUCUACCCUGGAAAGAUCUUUAUUGCCAUGCUUAAGUUUCCCGUGCAUCAUAGCAUGGUUAUAACUGACUGUUUUUCUUUCCACUCAAUCAUCAAAAUAAUAUUAAACUUAAAUUACAAUUUUGAAUCUGGCAAUUUGCGCAUAUAAUAGGCUGUUUGGUAAAAUCUUAACAACAUCAGAUUCGCCCUCUUGCCCGGGGCCCUUGCCAUUCUGUCUCCCUUGUGUUAGACCCAUUGUUAUUAGACGUUUUAGGGUCAAUUGAUUUUCAUUAUGAGUUUAAUUAGUAACAUUAGCUAAUGAAUGUAGUCGCAAUAUUAGCAACAUAGGAAUGGAGGAUGACAUAAAUUUUUUCUU